UACGGGGGGGGCAAGCGUUGUUCGGAAUUACUGGGCGUAAAGGGCUCGUAGGCGGCCAAUUAAGUCAGACGUGAAAUCCCUCGGCUUAACCGGGGAACUGCGUCUGAUACUGGAUGGCUUGAAUCCGGGAGAGGGAUGCGGAAUUCCAGGUGUAGCGGUGAAAUGCGUAGAUAUCUGGAGGAACACCGGUGGCGAAGGCGGCAUCCUGGACCGGUAUUGACGCUGAGGAGCGAAAGCCAGGGGAGCAAACGGG
rnacentral:rRNA from 1 species